rnacentral:rRNA from 1 species
AUGUUGGAGCUCAGCAAGCAGUAUGCUAGAGAUUGCAAAGCAAUUAGGGCAGGUCCAAACUUGUGGCAGGUCUCCAGUGGCCCACAGACAUAUGCUGUCAACCUUCUUGACCCCACUUGUGGAUGCAGGAAGUGGGACAUGUCAGGGUGUCCAUGUAACCAUGCUUACAGUGCUAUUUCCAAAGGCAAGAUUCAACCUGAGGAUUUUGUUAGUCCAUUCUUCAAGAAAGCAAUGUACCUAGAAUUAUAUAAACCUAUAGUGUAUCCAGUUCCAGGAGAAGAUGCUUGGGUCAAGACAGAGCAACAUGAUAUUGAUCCUCCUGUUUUCCACAAAGAGGACCAGAGUGGAAGAAAAGAAGAAAAAAGAAAGAAGGGCAGGUUUGAAGUGCCAAAACCAAAAGAUACUUCUAGGAUGGCUACAAUCAAAUGUGGCAACUGCAAGUUAAUGGGUCAUAGGUUCACUAACUGUUCACAAUCUUUGAGGCCUGACCUUCAGUUAAGAAAGAAUAGAAUCAUGAGAAGGCAGAAGGCAGAAGCCUACAUUCCACCUGAAGAAGCACCAAGGGCACCAACUGGAGAAGCACCAAGGGCUUCACCUAGGGUUGCUUUCACAGCACCAAGGCCAGCAACAAGGGCUACAACUGCUAGUUCAUCUGCUGGUACUUCAUCUACAUCUACUUCUGCUUUUGCCACAAAGAUGAGAUCAGUGAUAGGUGGAAGAGUUCAAGGAGUUUCAACAGCUGGAACAGGUAGAAAGAAGAAAGCUCAGAAAUAUGCAAGACUGAAGAGCUACUUCACUGCCAGUGGAAAUGUUUGA